rnacentral:rRNA from 1 species
UACGUAGGGGGCGAGCGUUGUCCGGAAUUAUUGGGCGUAAAGAGCGUGUAGGCGGUUCGGUAAGUCUGUCGUGAAAACCUGGGGCUCAACCCCAGGCGUGCGGUGGAUACUGCCGGGCUAGAGGAUGGUAGAGGCGAGUGGAAUUCCCGGUGUAGCGGUGAAAUGCGCAGAUAUCAGGAGGAACACCGGUGGCGAAGGCGGAUCUCUGGGCCUUACCUGACGCUGAGGAGCGAAAGCGUGGGGAGCGAACAGG